rnacentral:rRNA from 13 species
UAAGAUCCCUGAAAGAUGAUCAGGUUGAUAGGUUCGAGGUGGAAGCAUGGUGACAUGUGGAGCUGACGAAUACUAAUAGAUCGAGGACUUAACCAUAUAA